UGCAGUCGAGCGAUGGAUUCGAGAGCUUGCUCUCAAGAAGUUAGCGGCGGACGGGUGAGUAACACGUGGGUAACCUGCCCAUAAGACUGGGAUAACUCCGGGAAACCGGGGCUAAUACCGGAUAACAUUUUGAACUGCAUGGUUCGAAAUUGAAAGGCGGCUUCGGCUGUCACUUAUGGAUGGACCCGCGUCGCAUUAGCUAGUUGGUGAGGUAACGGCUCACCAAGGCAACGAUGCGUAGCCGACCUGAGAGGGUGAUCGGCCACACUGGGACUGAGACACGGCCCAGACUCCUACGGGAGGCAGCAGUAGGGAAUCUUCCGCAAUGGACGAAAGUCUGACGGAGCAACGCCGCGUGAGUGAUGAAGGCUUUCGGGUCGUAAAACUCUGUUGUUAGGGAAGAACAAGUGCUAGUUGAAUAAGCUGGCACCUUGACGGUACCUAACCAGAAAGCCACGGCUAACUACGUGCCAGCAGCCGCGGUAAUACGUAGGUGGCAAGCGUUAUCCGGAAUUAUUGGGCGUAAAGCGCGCGCAGGUGGUUUCUUAAGUCUGAUGUGAAAGCCCACGGCUCAACCGUGGAGGGUCAUUGGAAACUGGGAGACUUGAGUGCAGAAGAGGAAAGUGGAAUUCCAUGUGUAGCGGUGAAAU
rnacentral:rRNA from 1 species